UAGCCGUAAACGAUACUCGCUAGGUGUCGGCCACGGUGCGACCGUUGUCGGUGCCGUAGGGAAGCCGUGAAGCGAGCCACCUGGGAAGUACGGCCGCAAGGCUGAAACUUAAAGGAAUUGGCGGGGGAGCACCGCAACGGGAGGAGCGUGCGGUUCAAUUGGAUUCAACGCCGGACAACUCACCAGGAGCGACGGUUACAUGAAGGCCAGGCUGAUGACCUUGCCUGAUUUUUCCGAGAGGUGGUGCAUGGCGUAGACGUCU
rnacentral:rRNA from 1 species